rnacentral:rRNA from 1 species
GGAUCAUCAGGUUGGUCGUGCCUUUGGUAUGUACUGAUUUCGAUGGUUCCUCCUUCUUGAAGAUCCGUAAUGCCAUUAAUUUGGUGUUGCGGGGAAUCAGGACUGUUACUUUGAAAAAAUUAGAGUGUUUAAAGCAGGCAAACGCUUGAAUACAUUAGCAUGGAAUAAUGAAAUAGGACGUUCGAUCCUAUUUCGUUGGUUUCUAGGGUCAACGUA